rnacentral:rRNA from 1 species
UACGUAGGGUCCAAGCGUUAAUCGGAAUUACUGGGCGUAAAGCGUGCGCAGGCGGUUGUGCAAGACCGAUGUGAAAUCCCCGGGCUUAACCUGGGAAUUGCAUUGGUGACUGUACGGCUAGAGUGUGUCAGAGGGGGGGUAGAAUUCCACGUGUAGCAGUGAAAUGCGUAGAGAUGUGGAGGAAUACCGAUGGCGAAGGCAGCCCCCUGGGAUAACACUGACGCUCAUGCACGAAAGCGUGGGGAGCAAACAGGAUUAGAUA